GGAUCGUAAAACUCUGUUAUUAGGGAAGAACAAAUGUGUAAGUAACUGUGCACAUCUUGACGGUACCUAAUCAGAAAGCCACGGCUAACUACGUGCCAGCAGCCGCGGUAAUACGUAGGUGGCAAGCGUUAUCCGGAAUUAUUGGGCGUAAAGCGCGCGUAGGCGGUUUCUUAAGUCUGAUGUGAAAGCCCACGGCUCAACCGUGGAGGGUCAUUGGAAACUGGGAAACUUGAGUACAGAAGAGGAAAGUGGAAUUCCAUGUGUAGCGGUGAAAUGCGCAGAGAUAUGGAGGAACACCAGUGGCGAAGGCGACUUUCUGGUCUGUAACUGACGCUGAUGUGCGAAAGCGUGGGGAUCAAACAGGAUUAGAUACCCUGGUAGUCCACGCCGUAAACGAUGAGUGCUAAGUGUUAGGGGGUUUCCGCCCCUUAGUGCUGCAGCUAACGCAUUAAGCACUCCGCCU
rnacentral:rRNA from 1 species